AUGCGUGGAGACACUAUGAUGGUAACGGAAGUUCGUAGUUACGAAAAGUGUCUCGUACUGCUUGCCGGCGAAAAUGUGAUAGAAUUCCAUAAGUAAACGAUCGUUCGAGCGAAUGUUGCGGUUAAAAAAAUAAUUUACAAUGAACCUCACCACAGGGAACCCUCACGGAAAUGAUUUGCUCUUUGCUGGUUUCAAUCAGGACCAAGGAUGUUUUGCUUGUGGUAUGGAAAAUGGCUUCAGAGUAUAUGGUUGUGACCCUUUAAAAGAGAAGGCACGUCAUUUCAGUGAUGGAGGCUUUGGUUAUGUAGAAAUGCUAUUUAGGUGUAAUUAUUUAGCAUUAGUUGGCAGUGGAGCAAAGCCAAUGUAUCCAACCAAUAAAGUUAUAAUAUGGGACGAUUUAAAGAAGUCUCCAGCGAUCACUUUAGAAUUUAAUGCUCCCGUGAAAGGUGUUAAACUGAGAAGAGAUAGAAUAGUAGUAAUUUUAGAAGGUGUUAUAAAAGUUUAUACAUUCACGCCAAAUCCUCAGCAACUUCAUGUUUUUGAGACUAAUCCAAAUCCCAGAGGAUUAUGCGUAUUAUGCCCAAAUAGUAGUAAUUCCUUACUUGCUUUCCCUGGUAGGAAAAAUGGGCACGUACAAGUAAUAGAUUUGGCUAAUACAGAAAAACAGCCUUUAAAUAUAGAUGCACACGAAACACCUUUAUCUUGUAUAGCUUUAAACUUACAAGGUACCAGAUUGGCUACUGCAUCAGAGAAGGGUACUUUGAUAAGAGUUUUUGAAACGCAAAGUGGAAAUAUGAUUAAUGAAUUGAGAAGAGGGGCUAAUCAUGCAAACAUUUAUUGCAUUAAUUUUAAUCAUGAUUCUACCUGGCUGUGUGUAGCAAGUGAUCACGGAACUGUACAUGUUUUCGCUGUAGAAGAUCAAAAAUUAAAUCGUCAAUCUAGUUUAGCAUCUGCCACUUUCCUGCCAAAAUAUUUUAGUUCAAGUUGGAGCUUCUGCAAAUUUCAAGUUCCAGGUGGUCCACAAUGUAUGUGUGCAUUUGGUACUGAUAACAAUAGUAUUAUAGUAAUAUGUGCAGAUGGUAGUUAUUACAAGUUUGUGUUCAAUAAUAAAGGUGAAUGCACGAGAGAUUUUUAUGCACAGUUCCUCGAAUUAACCGAUGAUAAGAUGUGAUUGGAGAAUGUAGAGGAGGUAAACUCCUAAAUGAAACAAAUUUUACACACUUUGCUCAUUGGAUAUGAAUAAGAGUAGCUCUUAUGGAAAGUGAGAACUGUGUUUGUUAUUUAAAAUUGUACUCUAUAUGAUAGAAGACCAAAUGAAAAGUACUACUAUUUAUUGAUGACAUGUGCAAUGUGUGUGAAUUACAAAUGGAAAAUAUAAAAAAAAGAGGAACAUUAUCAAACACAACAGAAUAUGUUAUUGACUUGUUAUAUGGGCCUAUUGCUACAAUGCCUAUUUAUAAAUCUACAUGUUCUUGAAUGUUACAGUUGAGGAGGGUGUCCAAUACUUAACGCUCCGUUCAACGUGUCUAUGUAACGAAUGCCAUUGUUACAUUUAAAUUACUAAGUUUAUAAUUAAAAUUGAUUCACGUCACAAAAGAGAUAUCAUACGCAAAUGCAGACAUUCUAGUUAUAGUACAUUAUAGUAUUUACUAAACUAUAUUAUACUUUGACACAUUUCACAUUCUUUAUUGUAAAUAAGUUUCAAAGUAAAACAUACAAAUAUAAAAUCUAUUUAAUUGCUGCCAGUGGUAGUGAUUAAUCAAUUGAUCUGUAAGACGUACAUAACAUAAUAAUUUUGUAAUCUUUAUUUUUAUGAUUUUCAUACAUUUAACAUACAGAUACACGAAACAGAACUACAUUGAGUUGUCAAUAUUGAAACAUUACCACAAAAUAUCGUCAAAAGUGUCACAAAGAAGAUGGGAUUAAAUAUAAUGUAAAAAUUAAUAUGAGACGAGACUCUGUAUCUAUUUAUAAUAAAAUAU